AUAAGUGAUUUGUAACUGUGUAAUUCUUGCUUUUUCUUCUGUUUUGAAAAGUUAUCCUGAGAGGAUGGGAAGUCAAAUGUAAAGAUGCAGAUUGGCUUUGGUGUGUGGAAAAGUCUAGACCCAGGGACCUGGAUAUGCAAGAUGGUUCUUAAAGAUUCCUUCGCUUUGUCAAGCAAGAAGGAAUGAAUGGACCAUGUAGGAAGUGUAGCUGCACUCAAGGUACCGCCCUUGCUGCCCAUUGGAAUUGUGGAAGCAGGAAGGACCACCUAGCAUUUGUUCUUUUCUUGAGUUGGUUUUGCCUCAAUAGAGGCAGAAAUGGAGCAGCUGUAAGCAGCUAGUCCUGGGGCAGGUAAUGAAAAAGCGUGGCUUUCUUGGCCCUGAUUGCAACCCUCUGUGCAGAUGAGCUUAACUUGGGGCAGCCAACUUGAGAAGGAAGGAGUCUGGAAGAGAUAAUUGUGGACAACAGAGAGCUGGCCUGAAGAUAUUCUGCUGAAUUCUGCAUAUCUCUGAACAGACAUCAGAUAUCAGACACUAAAUUUUCAAGAUGCCUCCAAUCCACAAAAUAGAAGAAAGAAGGAAAAAAGAGACAGGGAUCUUUUUUUGUCAGGAAUCUUGAACUCUGUUGAUUGUAGAAGGCUGUUGGAUAUAAAUGCAUAAAGAAACAUAAAGGAAGGAUGCAUAUGUGUGUGCAUGCACAUGUGCAAAUUCCUGGCAAUACCUGCCUGCAGCCUUCUUCUGCUUCUCCAAGAUAUGUCUGUACAUAAGCUUACAAU
rnacentral:lncRNA from 1 species